rfam:Gossypium raimondii Chr11_contig_126, whole genome shotgun sequence.
CGUUAAAAAUUUCAUCCAUUUGUACUAUUAAAAGUUGACAUGACUAACGGAAUAACCACAGGUGUACUACGCGUACCUCACGCUGAUGUACAAUAAUCAUUUUUUUAAUAGUAGAAAUGGAUGAAACUUUUAACA